GGUGGAGGGAGGGUAUAGGAAGGGAGUGGAGGGUGCAGAGAGUGUCAGGAAGAGCGAGGGUGUAGCAGGGAAAGUACUGGUCUGUGCUGCGUGUGGGAAGUGACUUUAGUGGCGGCGUGAAGGCGAGGACACGAGUGAGGUGCUGGCAGGCUGACUGAGCGCAAUGGACCAACACGAAUAGCUGGAGGUCGGGGGACAGGCGCGCGCGAAGGCAGACGGCGACAGAUUCGUGACUCAAAACAAAAGCAUCGUGACAGCACAAGUGGGAGCGUCCGUCAUUCUUCACUGCAAGACCUCAAGUGCGACUGGCGGCCUGGUGUCUUGGAUCAGGAAGAAGGACUACCAGCUCCUGACGGUGAGUCUGUACACACACUCCAGUGACGACCGCUUCUCCAUCAACUACUUGCAUUGGAUUUUUGUUGCCCUUGGCCAGUGUCCUUCCUACAAAAAAAAAAAAAAAAAGUCACAGCCUCGGAGGUGCCACUUGGUCAAAAUGCGAGUGGAUUGACAUUAGCUGACCAAGACAGGACCAGAAAUUGACACCCACUUGCCACAAUAUCACUGUGAAGAACAUGCGAGCACUUGGGAGUUGCUUCCAUCAUGGGAGUGUCCCUCAAGAGUAGGAGCCACCCCCUCUCACUGACCUGAGUCACCUGACCCUAUCAGAUUGACACAGAAGAGUGAAGGACUGCCUGCUGCCUUGAUGCAAGAAAGUUUAGGCUGCCAUCUCACUCUUGCAUUGACAGCUGAUUUGUACUGAAGCCCACCAGUCCAGUCAAGCCAGGAGGGACCAGGUGAUCAGUGCUGAGGAGUGGAGAGUGGGCUGGCAGGAAUUAGAAGCUUUAAGAGGUUCUGAAGAAGAGAUGAAGUGGAAGAUGAACCUGGGGGCUGUCAUCUUUGUGGAAUCCUGGUAAAAUUGGAGGAUGAACUCCGCUGCCUGUCAAAUCCGUCCUGAAGUGAAGUGCUCUGACUGAAUUGGGCCUUCCGUCAUCACAGUUGAAGAGAACCCAGCUCUGUCUGAACCCUGCCUGUCAGUUGCUAAACAUUGCAGAAGAUGGAGCCGUGGGUGAACCAAAGCCAUACGUGAACCCGGCAAGAAAGUGGUGUUGCUGUCCUGAGGCUCAGGAGCACCAAUUCACUGUCCACCCUUCUUCAUCAUGGAAAGAUGUGUAUGAACAAAGAAAUUACUUGAUGAAAAAUAAAACUCACUGUAAUUUGUCAAAUUUAAUAAUUGUAUUGUGAAAAAAAAAUUAAAUUUGCUUAAUAAUUAUGACUCAAUGUAA